rnacentral:rRNA from 1 species
GUUCAUGGCUCAGGAUGAACGCUAGCUACAGGCUUAACACAUGCAAGUCGAGGGGCAGCAUGGUCUUAGCUUGCUGAGGCCGAUGGCGACCGGCGCACGGGUGAGUAACACGUAUCCAACCUGCCGUCUACUCUUGGACAGCCUUCUGAAAGGAAGAUUAAUACAAGAUGGCAUCAUGAGUUCACAUGUUCACAUGAUUAAAGGUAUUCCGGUAGACGAUGGGGA